rnacentral:lncRNA from 10 species
GGGCAAGUACCAGCACCUCAGCCUAGUCGGUGCAGGUGAUAGUUAUGAAGCUAAGUCCUAGGCCAGGAACAAGGCAGCCAGUCCAGCCAGCAUAGUUGACCCCUCUAUGGACUGGGGCCAGUGCAGCCACAGCAUUCCAGUGCUCAGCCCCUCAGCUGGGAGAUCAGCGACUGCUGCCACGUGCCCAGAAAUGGCUCGUCCUUUCACUACAGCGGAAUGCAAUGAGGGUGGGUGAGAAGAUGAUGGGUCGGUUAUUUCAUUCCUUUUCUUUUUACAACUUCACUUUCAGAGACUUCAGCGUUCCAUGUCUGCUGUGCUGUGGAACCCAGAGUGCUCUUGCCUGGAUGGCUGAGAAUCCCUUGGACCCUGGAAGCACCUACUCCAUGAUGGCCCGGUAUAGUGCAGGCUCAAUAUAAUCUUCCCGGUAUCUUGACAGGAGGACCAAACUGGAGACAGUCCUGGCUCUGAGGAAACAGGAAGGAAGGAGGGUGAAAGGAACGUCCACCUGCACACAAAGGUAACUGUCCUCUACUCAGGGAAGAGUGAACCAGGACAAAGUAACUGUUUUAGAGAGCAAGGCAGCUCUCUGGGCUGAAAAAUGUUAACAGUUAAAGACCUUGCUAAGUCAAAGUCUGCCCCUAUCUCUGCCCUCUCCUGCUUCUAGGUGACCAAAAAAAAAAAAAAAAUCCAGCUAUAACAAACUUAGUAAACACAGGAGUUAAGUGCCAGAAUCAAGAGUCCUUCUUACAUUCCCUCAACUGUUCCCCUGCGGGUUCUCCAGGGCUCUGCCAUGAAGAAAUACUAGAACCAUACUCAACUAUAAGACAUGUGUUUUUUUUGGCCAGGCACGGUGGCUCAUGCCUGUAAUCGCAGCACUUUGGGAGGCUGAGGCAGGCAGAUCACCAGGUCAGGAGAUCAAGACCAUCCUGGCUAACAUGGUGAAACCCCAUCUCUACUAAAAAUGCAAAAAAUUAGCCAGGUGUGGUGGCAGGCGCCUGUAGUCCCAGCUACUCGGGAGUCUGAGGCAGGAGAAUGGUGUGAACCCAGGAGGCGGAGCUUGCAGAGAGCUGAGAUCACGCUGGAAUACAGUGGCCUGAUCUUGGCUCAUUGCAACCUCAGCCUCCUGGGUUCUAGCAAUCCUCCUGCCUCAGCCUCCCGAGUAGCUGGGACAACAGGCACGUGCCACCAUGCCCAGCUAAUCUUUGUAUUUUUAGUAGAGACGGGGUUUCACCAUGUUGGCCAGUCUGGUCUCGAACUCCUUACCUCAGGUGAUCUGCCUGCCUCGGCUUGCCAAAGUGGUGGGAUUACAGGCAUGAGCCACUGUGCCCAACCAAGAAAUAUGUUCUUAACAGGAAAGAUGAAAAAGAGUCACCUACCAUGGGACCUGGCAAAGUACUUCAGAACUUUUAUUCCUUCCAGAAGCAGGUAAGUACCCCAAGUCCUCAUCGUAUUCCCAGCAUAGGGCUUGGUAUACGGGGGGAUAUUUCAUUCAGCAUAUUGGCUGAAUGAAAGGUCUGAUAGGUAUACCUGGGAGAAGGUCCUUAGGGACAUGGCUUAAAAAAUGAGAGAGGGGCAGGGCAGUGAGUCUAAAAGGAUGUGGAUGCUCACAUCUGCUCUUACAAUCAUGCUACAGUUCAUUUAUUGAGUGGAAACAGUUCCCUACUUAUUGACAAUUCAUUUACUGAAUAGGUAAUCAGUAAAUACAUUUUGUAUCAAUCUAACAAUUAGGCAUAAACUACAGCCUCCUACACCCAAUAUCUGAGGUGUUCUAAGAUUUAACUACUCAAAUGUUUGAUAUUUGAUAAAUUGUUUAAGUUCUCUGCAAUUCAGUUCCACCUCCUAUAACAGCACUUCUGAAAAUGUGGUCUGUGAACCUCUGAGGGGUUCCUGAGACACUGUCAGGGAGCAAGUGAGACAUGGCUAUUUUUAUAAUAUUAAACUAUUAGCCUUUGUCACUGUGUUGUCAUUUACCUAGGAUAGGUACAACUGCUGGCACCUGAGCACAGAUCAAGGCACUGACCCUAAGCUCUACUAGUUGUUAUUGCAUUUUUCACCACUGUACACUCAUAAUUUAGGAGAAAAGAGCAAAAACUCUAGAUUGCAUGUAACAAUAUCCCUUGAUGAAGCAGUAAAAAAUUAUUAAUGUUGUUAAAUCUUAAUCAUUGAGUACAUGUGUUAAGUCCUCAUAAGACACUUUUGGUUGUCUCAAAGAAAUCUAUCUGUGUUGUUUGAGUUGUGAAUUACACUAGCUGCUUUGUUCAUGGAAUACCAGUUUUAUUUGAAAAAAAUUACUAGGCCAGGCAUGGUGGCUCAUGCCUGUAAUCCCUCACUUUGGGAGGCAGAGGUAGGAGGAUCGCAUCAGCCCAGGAGUUCAAGACCAGCCUGGGCAACACAGGGGAGACCCCAUCUCUACAAAACAUAAAAAAUUAUCCAGGUGUGAUGGCACACGCCUAUAGUCCCAGUUACUCGGAAGGCUGAGGACUGCUUGAGGCCGGGAGGAUGAGGCUGCAGUGAGCCAUGACCAUGCCACUGCACUCCAGCAGUGGUGCUGCGCAACAGAGCAGGACCCUGUCUUUAAAAAACUCUAUGAAAAUUUAAAAAAAGAAAAAAGUGACUGACAAACUAUGGCUUUUCAGACUUAGGUAUCUGGCAGACAUCUUCUUGAAAAUGCAUGAAGUGAACGCCUGUCAUGUCAAGGAAAACAAAAGUCAGUAUCUGUUGCCAAUAGUAAAAUUCAGGCUUUCAAACAAAUAUUAGCAUUUCAGAGAAGCGGCAUUCACAACUGUGAGCUUGAAACUUCCCAAAAUUCCAAGUUUUUUGAUUAUUAGUGAUACUAACAAAUGUAAUUUUUAAAAUAUUUAUGGCCGGGCGUGGUGGCUCAUGCCUGUAAUCCCAGCACUUUGGGAGGCCAAGGCGGGCAGAUCACGAGGUCAAGAGAUUGAGUCCAUCCUGGACAACAUGGGGAAACCCUCUCUACUAAAAAUACAAAAAUUAGUUGGGCGUGGUGGCGUGCACCUGUAGUCGCAGCUACUUGGGAUGCUGAGGCAGGAGAAUCGCUUGAACCCGGUAGGUGGAGGUUGCAGUGAGCCAAGAACGCACCACUGCACUCCAGCCUGGCGACAGAGCGAGACUCUGUCUCAAAAAAAAAAAAAAAUUAAAUUUAUAAUAAUAUUUAACAACAUUUGGAGGCUGUCGAUAGGCCAGUGCACCAAUAUUUUCUAAAUGACCAAAGUAUGAUGUUAUAAAAGGAUGCAUGGGUGAAAGAUCCAUUCAGAAGAGACCAAUGGGUUUUAGUGUUAACAGUAUGAAACGUUCACUGACCUUUCAGAUUCCACACUGCAACUAACUUUUAAGAACCUGCCAGGAGCAGUGGCUCACACCUGUAAUCCCAGCACUUUGGGAGGUUGAGGCAAAAGAAAUCGCUUGAGCCCAGGAGUUUGAGACUACCUGGGCAAGAUGGCAAGACCCCAUUUCUACAAAUAGCCAUGCAUGCCUGUAGUCCCAGCUACUCGGGAGGUGCUUGGUCAACAAAGCAAGACAUCAUCUCUUAAAACAAACAAACAAACAAAAAAAGUUGUUACUUCCAUUGAGUUUUGGUGGAUAUCAGAGAAUAAUAAACACAAUUACCUGAAAGACUAUUAAAAUACCUCCCUUGGCUGGGAGUGGUGGCUCACAGAUGUAAUCCCAGCACUUUGGGAGGCCGAGGUAGGCGGAUUGCUUGAGCCCAGUUUUGAGACCAGCCUGGGCAACAAGGCAAAACUCCAUCUCUACAAAAAAUUAAAAAAUUAGCUGGGCGCCAGUGACAAGGGCCUGUAGUCCCAGCUACUUGGGAGGCUGAGGCAGCAGAAUCACUUGAGCCUGGUAUGUGGAGGUUGCAGUGAGUUGAGAUCACUGCACUGCACUCCAACGUGGGUGACUGGAGUGAAACCCUAUUUUAAAAAAACAAAAACAAACUCCUUUUUCCAAUUACAUAUCUACGCAAGGCUGAAUUUUCUUCCUAUACUUGAACCUAAACAGUGUAUCACAAUAGAUUGAAUCAAGAAGUGACAUUAAGGCCAGCGCGGUGGCUCACGCCUGUAAUCCCACCACUUUGGGAGGCCGAGGCGGGCGGAUCACGAGAUCAGGAGAUCAAGACCAUCCUGGCUAACAUGGUGAAACCCCAUGUCUACUAAAAAUACAAAAAAUUAGCCGGGCAUGGUGGCGGGCGCCUGUAGUCCCAGCUACUCGGGAGGCUGAGGCAGGAGAAUGGCGUGAACCUGGGAGGUGAAGCCUGCAGUGAGCCAAGAUCAUGCCACCGUACUCCCGUACUCCAGCCUGGGCAACAGAGCAAGACUCCAUCUCAAAAAAAAAAAAAAAAGACAUUAAAGAGAUUUGCAAAAUUGCAGGGAAAUGGCAAUCUUUUGUUUUUGUUUUAGAAAAGUUAUUUUUAAUCUAAAAAAAUUGAUUAUUUUAAAUCAAUCUGCUUUAAUUUCUAAUAAGAAUAAAUACGUUUAGAUGUAACCCAGAGAAACACAGGCUCUUUGGGGUCUCUAACUUGUAGAAAAUGGAGUCCUGAAACCACUGUAAGUUAGAGAUAAUACCACAUCCUUCUCACAGUGGGUAUGAGAAGAUAAAGAGAUACUUGAAAUAACCACUUAGCAUAGUGCCUGGCAUACUGUACCAGCUUAAUAAAUUACAGCAAGGGCCAGGUAUGGUGGCUCAAACUCUUGUAAUCCCAGUGGUUUGGGGGCCCAAGAUGUGAGGAUCGCUUCAAGCUGCGAGAUCGAAACCAGCCUGAGCAACAAAGCAAGACCGUUGUUACUACAAAAAAUUUAAAAAUUAGCCAGGUGUGACUGCAUGUGCCUGUAGUCCCAGCUACCUGGGAAGCUGAAGCAGGAGGAUCACUUGAGUUCAGGAGUUUGAGAUUGCAGGAGCUAUGAUACAGCCACUGCACUCCAGCCUAAGUGACAGAGUGAGACCUGGUCUCUCUCAAAAAAAAAAAAAAAAAAAUAAGGCCAGGCACAGUGGCUCACGCCUGUAAUCCCACCACUUUGGGAGGCCAAGGUAGGCAGAUCACUUGAGCCCAGGAGUUUGAGACCAGCCUGGGCAACAUGGCAAAAGCCCGUCUCUACAAAAAAUUAAAAAAUUAGCCGGCUGUGGUGGUGCGUUCCUGUAGUCCCAGCUACCAGGGAGGCUGAGGUGGGAUGAUCACCUCAAUCCAGGAAGUUGAGGCUGCAGUGAGCUGAGAUUGUGCCACUGCACUCCAGCCUGGGCGUCAGAGUGAAACCCUGUCUCACAAAUAAAAUAUAAAUAAAUGAUAGCUAUGCUACUGCUAUGAGUACUACUAAUGUCGCCUUUUCUAUAAGUCUACCUUAUAACUAAUGAAUGUGCUUUUAGCAACUGAGUGGCUAAUGUGGUAUAAACAUGGGACAAUACCUGAUUUGUUAAAGGAAAAAAUGGUUUCAUUCCUCUCUACUUUGGUGGUCAGUCUACCAACUGAAAAGGCAAGGUGGGGGUAGGGGAAACCUGAACUAAGUCCUCACUACCAAGCCAGACCUAGGACUGGGUCCAUGUGGGGCCACUGUGUCUCAGGUGUUGAUAACAUAAACAGGCCAAGGGUGUCUCCAGGCAGUUUCUACUUAGCCCUAAAGCCCACUGUGAAGAGACAAAAGCAGAUUCUAUACAUCUACUAAGAGGGCCUGAUAGAAAAGAGAGUUGGAUAAUUCCCCUAAAAUCACACAGCUACUAGGCAAUGAAGCUGGUAUUGGCAUAUUUGAUUCCAAAGCCUGGGCUCUCCUAUUGCACUAGAAUGCCCUCAAGGAUAAUUUAGACGGCAACAGAUGCAGGUUUCAAGGAAUUGCAGAAAAUACUGAUUCCCAGGUACUUCUAGGGAAAAUAGGGUACCCUAGCAGCACGCAGUUUUCUUUGCAAAGAAAGACUGGUACAGAUGAUUCUUUCUGUUUGAGGACAUGGUGAUGGGACCAGGGACCUGGCUAGAAGAAGCAGGCAUACACACACAGUCUGCCAGCCAGACCUUAGAAACAUCCCCCCAUUCCAAACUGCCUGAGAAGCUCCUUGCAGAUAUUACCACUAUGUCCUCAGGAUAAAGAUUGUCGCUGAAGGAGCCAUCAUCAAAGUUGACUUCAUAGAAGGUCUCGGUGGUG